CUCUGCCGUUCCCCUCCCCCUCGCCUCGUCCUCGCCCGAGUCGCUGCGCCACCGGCUCCGCCGCUUCUCCCACGCCCUCUCCUCCCCGUUCCUCUCCUCACCCUGCCUGGGUUGCCCCAUCCCGAAAUCCACCUCGAGACUGAGGGGUAGGCAGAAGACGGCUUCCACUCAGGACGGCGAGCCAUGGGUGACGGCGAUCUCGACGCAAAGUUCGGCGGUGGAUUCUGAGGUUGUGGGAGGCCAGAUGAUUUGAAUCAGAGGUGUCAAGAUCCGUCAGGACCGGGACGCCGACGCCGCUCCGGCGCCUCUUGCGCUCCUCCUCGACGCCUCCUGCCCGCUCUCCUGCGUCACCGAGGCCGUCGAGCGGCGCGGGCGCGGCGGACCAGAUGCAGUACCAGUGGGACCAAGGUUGACACGGCACUGGGAGUCAGGCGGUGGAGACGGCCAGAUCAUCCCGUCUCCAGCUUCAUUGUAGCAGGGCCAUUCGAUCCAGGAGGAGGACCUGCUAUUGGAACCACGGUGCUGGCUGCAGGUAGCAUUUCAAGGACAGCGUGUUUACACGAAGACGAUAUAUUGAAUCCGACCCGACCCCCCCGCGCGCUCCGGAUGCUGCUUGUAUUUCGGUUUGAUCUUUGUGAGUGCAAGAGCAGGAUCUGUUGAAACCAUAAGCAUCCUAUCCACGUCUUUGUGUUGUAUGCUAUCAACAACUGCUCACUCACAGUCUCUGUUCAGUUCAGUUUAGGGAUAUUCUGUUAGUGCGUUUACAUAUUUAUUUAUUGUUGUGCCGACCAUUGCAUAUUCCUGCAAGUGAAUCUCUUAUGGUACAUUAUUUAUUUCUUCAUUGAUUAAUGUGUAGUUCAGUUCAGGUAUUAUUGAACUCCCUUGUUGUCUUUUGCAAUGGUGGACUGCAGGUUGCUAUGACCAAAUUCUUUCAGAAAAAUCGUCUCUUCUCCAUCUAUGUGAAGGUUGGAUUUGAUAUCCACCUCACACCUCACAAGGCAGCCCUGCAUUAACUGAGAGUUCCAUAUUUUAAAUCAGUAAAAAUCUUUGGAGAUCCAGUGCUCCAACAACUGGAUCAUCCAAUUUUCUGAUUGGUUCCGAGGUAAACAUGGCUGGUGGAGCAGCCGGAGAGGAUAGAAUCCAAACUGUGUGCUCUGAGAAAAAUAGAUGGUUCAUUUGUAGAAUUUAUGAUAGAUUUAAUGGACGAGAUGCAACUGAUUUUCUGGCAGUGACUCUAUAUGGUAGCAUAGUAUAUUACCUUUACUUGUUUGAGUGUCGUAUCAAGCAACAAGAUGGCCUAUAUAUGGUUGAACAAGAUAUGGAUGAUAGACCAAAUUUAGUUUCAUUGGAUCUUGUGUCCUGGUUGUGCUUCUCGAGGGAACAUAUUUCUGCAUUCUAAAUCUUGGGGAUAGUUGCGUUAUGCUUGCUUCCAUGCCAUGAAUACUCUGUUGCUGCUGUUACACAUUGUUGUGCUAAUUGCAUAUUCCUGCAGAUGAAUCUCUUACGGUUAUUGUUUGUUUUUCAUUCCCAUUGGUAUUCCAAGAGUAUCUGUUAUUAUAUUUAAAUUCAUGCUCAAAUAGAAAAUCUCACGAAAAUGGAAUUCUCCUCCUAGGUGUUCUGUAUGCGCCCGUAUUGCAGGACGACUUCUACCUCAACUUCGUGGACUGGUCUUCGCACAAUGUCCUCUCGGUCAGAUCGGGGAAUUGCGUCUACCCGUGGAACGCAACUGCAAGGUCGCCAAGCUCUAUGAUUUGGGGGCGGACCACACUGUUUGUUAGUUGGGUGCAGCGUAGCACCCACCUAUCUGUAGGGACUAACCAAGGCACCGUUCAGGUUUUCAUCUUGCUCCCGUUUGAAAUUGAUCAAAUGGCAUGUUCGGGGUCCAUCAAAGUUUAGGGGUAUACUUCAGUUUAUUUUUACCCAAAGCUUCAAUUCAAACAACAAAUAAUACAGAGUAAGCUUGGUUGUGAGAAUGUCACCCGGUUGAUGCGAUAUGAAAUGUAUAUUGUAGAAGUAGAACAAGCAGAAAUUUGAUUCAUCAACUUAUAUAUGCAAUAUGAACUUAUGAAGUAUAUAUUGUAGAAGUAGAACAAGCCGAAUUCGAUUCAUCAACUUAUUUAUGCAAUAUUAAGUAUAUAUUGUAGAAGUAGAACAAGUGCUACCGUGUUGAUUUUUUUAUGAAAUACAUGCUAAAAUAUAUAUAUCCGUCGCUAUCCAUUGAAAUAAUACUGACUUACGAACUACAUACUGAAGUAUAUAUUCGUCGCUAUCCAACUGAAGGUUGUAUAAUGUUUUCAGUUCUAGCGCUUUAGAUUCCGUGGCUUCAGCUUCUUUGUGUAAGAUCUCCACUUCCUCACUGUCAUCUGUUUCAGUUGCAGCAAUCAAUUCUGCUCUAGCAGCAGAGGAGUCCAGCCGGAGCCUUUUGUAACUUGCCAUGGCUGACUCUUGUUCUCUGAGCACAAUAAGCCCUUCACAAUCCUGUAUCUUGUUAGUGGUUGCUGCGAUAUCCUUUUCUUUAACCUCCAGAUCACUACCAGCUUUUCGCAACGUCUUAUAUUAAGUUGCGGAGGGACUAAUUGCCAACAUAGUUCAGGUUUUCCCUUACAAUAUCUUUUCUAUCAGAAGUUGUGGUUUUAGUUCAUAUGUCAUCUGUUAGAGCAAAAAAGAUGAGGUUUCAUGAGGUUAUUCAGGUUGAGUCCCACUCAAGUUGCUUGAUUUUAGGUUCUAAUUAUGGGCCUGGGCAAAUUCAAAACAAAUAGCUUGCUUAGAGGAUCCCACAUGGACGAUGUAACACAUGUAUGCGCAUUCUACAGGGUUUUACACGUACAUGUUGUUUUACAGUGGAAAUUAGUGUUAUCACAUACUUUUGUUUUGGUAACUUUUUUGCUGGCAUUACUGUCUAAAAUAUUUAUACUUUUGUAUUGACUUCAUUUCAGCGAGAUGCUAUUUAUUCAGUACAGGUUCUAGAUUGGGUGGUUACCAGUUAUUGUUGUGCUGAUUUAUCACUCUUUGUUGGACAUGUUCGAUUUGCACCGAACCAGUAGAGUAAACUCAUUUCUGCAGCAGUGGAAGGAUUAAUGUGCGUCUUCGACACAUAUGGUGAUGGCCACCGCAACGGCGGGCAGCAUGUCGAUCAACACUGAGUCGCUGACCAUAACCAAGGUGGGCGAGAAGAAGAGCUACACCAUGAGGGAAGCCGCCAUGCAUGAACGGAUUCGGAUUCGGCCGGCUCGUCUGGUCUAGUGACACCAAAGUGGUAGCUAGUCCGACCCUUGGGAUGUGGACCUGACCGUUACCUUUGAACCAGUAUCAUGUAUGCUAUCGCUCACGUAAACCUCUAAGACUGCUUCCUGCCAGUUGAUACGUAAUGUCAGAGCUCUUGUUCAUUCUUCCA